CAAGUCGAACGAGAAAGUGGAGCAAUCCAUGAGUAAAGUGGCGUACGGGUGAGUAACACGUGGGUGAUCUACCUCUUAGUGAGGAAUAACCCUGGGAAACCGGGGCUAAUACCGCAUAAGCCUGAGAAGGGAAAGCAGCAAUGCGCUGAGAGAGGAGCCCGCGGCCGAUUAGCUAGUUGGUGGGGUAAGAGCCCACCAAGGCAGAGAUCGGUAGCCGGCCUGAGAGGGCACACGGCCACACUGGCACUGAAACACGGGCCAGACUCCUACGGGAGGCAGCAGUGGGGAAUCUUGCACAAUGGGGGAAACCCUGAUGCAGCGACGCCGCGUGAGCGAUGAAGCCCUUCGGGGUGUAAAGCUCUUUCGUCAGGGAAGAUAGUGACGGUACCUGGAGAAGCAGCUGCGGCUAACUACGUGCCAGCAGCCGCGGUAAUACGUAGGCAGCAAGCGUUGUUCGGAGUUACUGGGCGUAAAGGGUGUGUAGGCGGUUCUUUAAGUUUGGUGUGAAAUCUCCCGGCUCAACCGGGAGGGUGCGCCGAAUACUGUGGGACUAGAGUGCGGGAGAGGAAAGUGGAAUUCCUGGUGUAGCGGUGAAAUGCGUAGAUAUCAGGAGGAACACCGGUGGUGUAGACGGCUUUCUGGACCGUAACUGACGCUGAGACACGAAAGCGUGGGUAGCAAACAGGAUUAGAUACCCUGGUAGUCCACGCCCUAAACGAUGCAUAUUUGGUGUGGGUCAUUCAGUUGAUCCGUGCCGGAGCUAACGCGUUAAAUAUGCCGCCUGGGGAGUACAGUCGCAAGGCUGAAACUCAAAGGAAUUGACGGGGGCCCGCACAAGCGGUGGAGCAUGUGGUUCAAUUCGACGCAACGCGAAGAACUUUACCUGGGCUCGAACGGCUUCUCAACGCCGGUAGAAAUACC
rnacentral:rRNA from 1 species